UCCUAAACAAAGUCAAGAAAUACACCUAGCAUUCAAUCCCAUAUUUUAAUAUUUAAGUAAUCCAGAUGGAUUGCAAACUUUGAGGUAGACCAGAGUUGCUAAUUACCUGGGUUAGAAGGCUUUAGACCAACCCCUCCUUAAAACAGGACAUUAUGGCAGUAUCUUCUAAAGGGGACCCAGAAGACCUAGGAAGGUCACAUACCAGAAUCACUGGCUGAAAUCCCUGGCCAGUGAGCAGCCUCAACAGAAGGCUGGAGAACUGUGCGCCACUUCCCUGGCAGCCUCCAGUUGCCACGUACUGAUCACUCACCUCCCUGGACACUGGAUUACCCCACGUAGGAGCUGGGUGGCACAGGGGUUCACACUGAGUUUCUGGUGGCCAGGACUGUUGACUCAGUGCCACCAUGCUGGUAAUGACCUCCUGAGCCAUGGCAGUGCCCAGAGAGCCUAAAGCUUCCCUCAGCACAGCUUUUGCUCCCUCUCCUCUGUUCCACCUUCUACCCUGCGGUGACCCAGUUCCUUGUGCCUCAGCUUCCCUCGUUUGGACUGCAGCCCUGCCCCUGAGUUGGAGCUUAGUGACCCUGCCUUGCUGUUCACCACCUGCCUUCCUCUCCGUCCUUCUGUGGCCCCCAUUGGCUGGGACUCUGCUGGGAUUAAGUUAGUUGCUCAAGAGCCAUGACUUCUUCAUGACUUUAGUCCAUCAUCUGGCCCUUCCCACCACCAUUCCUGCUGCUCAUUUUGCUCUCUGAAGAUGUUGAUAGUUGCCUGAACCAAAUCUUAGCUUGCCUUACCUGCUCAACCCACUGGUUACUCUCCCAGAGCGGUCCAGCCUGCCAGGUUAGCCUCCCUGCUCUCACCCACCAAGCUGGUCCUGGCUCUGCCCUCAUCCAUCAGCAGGUGCUGCUGGAAUGUUGAUGAUAACAGUGAUGAAUAGCAAUGAAGAGCCAAGUCUGCCCUGAACUGUCUUGGGUGCUUGAGGUACCUCAUCAGCAGUGUGUGCAAACCUCGGGCUCUUAUGAUUGUCUCAGUUUGAAAAAACCUCCUCCUAAUAUACAACCAUCUGAGCUGGCUGUGGUGAUGCACGCCUGUAAUCCUAGCACUCUGGGAGGCUGAGACAGGAAGAGGACAAGUUUGAGCCUGGUCUGGGCAACUCAUUGAGACGCUAUCCCAAAAUAAAAAUAAAAAGGGCUGAGGAGGUAGCUAGCUCAUCUUUGCGCUAAACUAGUAUGGCCAGAGAUCUUAACAGAGACACACUUAAUCAUUCAUUCAACGAACACCGACCAGGUACUGUGUCACUGGGACACAAUACCUGUCACUCACAAGUUAAAGAAGGAAAGGUUUAUUUUAGUUCAAUUUGUAGAGGUUUCAGUCCAUAGUCGGCUGGCUCCAAGGCAGGGUGGCACACUGCAGAGGGGCAUCGCAGAGGAGAGCAGGCAAGAAGCAGGGAAAAGGCCAGGGAGGAGGAGGGAGACAGACCCUGCCAGGCCACGCCCCCAGUGACACCUCCUCCCAUCAGGCCAUACCUCUCCACAUCACAUUCAGCCGUAAACCCGUCACCGACUGAUCCACUGAUCCAGUCCCCCCCCCCGCCCCCCGCCCCCCGCCCCACAUCCCCUGUGAGCGCCUGAGGCUUUGGGGAGCAUCUAGACUUAAACCAUAACAGACAGGAGUGACAGAAACGGUGACUUGGAGUUCUAAGGACAGGACUGAGCCCGGACAGGGUGCAGCUGAGGAGGAGAGGACAGGACAGUACCCCCCCACACACCCCAUCUCAGGGUUGCCUGGGUCCUGCGGGUCGGGCGGGGGAAGCCGCAGUUGGCUUGGCUGACCAAGGUCUUGGUGCCUCGCCCGAGGUGUUGCUUUUGUGGAGGGCAGCACACCACACAGAAGGGCUGCACACUUCCUGUCUUGGUGCGCAGUGAGGACAACCUCUGGGGGUGAGUUGGUCCUUCAGGGCAUGUGCUGUGCAGCUGGGGGCCUGUGGGUGGCUCUCAUCCUCGGACCUCUGCCCCAGGCAGCCCUGACACUAAGGGAGUUUGUCCCUACUAAUGGCCAGUGAGAGAGGUGCUGUCACAGCACAGAGGCUGUUGGGAGCAAUGCUACAUAAUUCUAGGGAAAAAUCAUUUGAGUAGGCCUAGUUCUCCUGCCUACAGACCAGCUACGACAUUCCAGACGUAACUGCAUUUUGGCCUCGGGUCACAACUGAGACCUCAGUGAUCCCCAGAUGCUGUAAUGCUCCAGGACAAGACCACACCUGCCGAGACACCGGAGAGGAACCAAAUCUUUAUCUGUAUAGUUCCUCAUAGUUCUUAGAUUGCCACUGCCCCCCAGUCCUGUUACACCUUGUUUAUCCCAAUGUGAAGUGCUAAACUCUGCAUUUUUCACUUGUUACAUCUGUCUCCCCAUGUACUGAAUAAAAAGUGCUGCAAGCUAGGGGGCUUUUGUCUUUGCUGCCCGGAGCAGCACUGAUCAGACCCAAAG
rnacentral:lncRNA from 1 species